UAGGUCGUCGGUCCAUCUAGUAGGUGGC
rnacentral:sRNA from 1 species